UCGUCAAGCGGAACGUCCGGCGGAAUGAUGAGCGGUAUGGGAGGCGGAAUGAUGAGCGGGACGGGAGGCGGAAUGAUGAGCGGUAUGGGAGGCAGAAUGAUGAGCGGGACGGGAGGCGGAAUGAUGAGCGGGACGGGAGGCGGAAUGAUGAGCGGCAUGUCCGGCGGAAUGAUGAGCGGAACGGGAGGCGGAAUUAUGAGCGGUUCAUCAAACAGAGUGGUGCACUCUUCGUCAAGCGGAACGUCAGGCGGAAUGGCGAGCGGUACCGCCAUGUCAGGCGGAAUGUCGGGCUGCACAAUGAGAGGCGGAAUGGGUGGCUCGAGUUCCAUGCAGACAACCACGGUUGUGAAGAAAUCUCAAUACACUCUUGAGUCUGACAACAGCUGCAACAACUGAGGACUCUGCAAGUCUCCACUCCCACUAUUCCCACCCCACAUGUAAUACUUUUAAUAAUGCACAUGCAUUAUUCUCUCAGCUUUCCUCAGCUUUUCUGAGACAUUUGUGUGUGUAACUUCUUUUAAACAGCAACCAGUUGAUAGAUAUCUUUAAACAUGCUUCAUCCUAAACCAGAUAUAGUAAGCACAAUAACAUGCAACAUAUCAUGUUCUAUUCGGUUCUGAAAUAAACGCAGGUAUUUUCCUCGACUCAUUUAACCCAUG
rnacentral:lncRNA from 1 species